UACGUAGGGUGCAAGCGUUGUCCGGAAUUAUUGGGUGUAAAGGGCUCGUAGGCGGUCCGUCACGUCGGGAGUGAAAACUUGGGGCUUAACCCCAAGCCUGCUUCCGAUACGGGCGGACUAGAGGUGAGGCAGGGGAGAACGGAAUUCCUGGUGUAGCGGUGAAAUGCGCAGAUAUCAGGAGGAACACCGAUUGCGAAGGCAGCUCGCUGGACGUAACUGACGCUGAGACGCGAAGCGUGGGAGCAAACAGG
rnacentral:rRNA from 1 species